UCUAGUAAAUACACAUAACUUAAUUCUCCGAAGUGGAAUUACAUAUCCUAAACCAUAUACAUCUUAAAGAUGCUUAUUAAAUGUUUAUUUAACCUCUGACAGGAACAUCUUUAAGUAUUAUGACUUAUGAGUGAUGGAUUAUGUAUUAUGAGUGAUGUGUGUGUGCUAUUAUUCACUGUUGUCAACACUUCUUACAUUACAUGAAUGAAAAUAAUGUAAAUAAAUAAAUCUACAGUAACUAUACAUACGUUUAAUCUAUUUUAUUUGUCCAUUAGUACUGUUGGUAAAUUAAGGAACAUUUGUAUUGGAUAAGAAGUGAGUUAACACAUCAUCAACAUGUGAAUGUAGAUUUGAGCACAUAAAUCUCAGAGGAAAUGUGAAUCUUGUCUGAUGUCACAGGGACAGAUGACAGGGACAGAUGAGCACACGUGUGUUUAUCCGGUAGAGGAAUGAUGCCAUCAAAGGCUUUGAGGACGAUACUACAGAAAUUAAUACAAAGUCUAUUUAAAUCUAAAGUCUAGUUUAUUUUAAUUAUUGCAAUUUAAACAGAGUUAUUACAGCACUUUGCUGGCUCUUGAUGUCUGUAUGUUUGCUGCAGAGCUUUUGUGGAGCAUGACCUGCAAGAAAAGGUGAUGGCAGGAUUUGUUAGAAAUAAAGAGGAAAGCCUGAAACAAAAUAUAAAGAUGUGAAUGUCCUCAGACUGGUGUGAGCACUGAGGAUGGAGAGCCACAGCAGAUCCUGGGAAUGGUUCAGUGUCAUGGACUCCAUCACUACUCCUUCCAAGUGACUCGAUCAAGGACACACUGGAGGUGAUGCUGCAGAGAUCGAACCUGCAACCUUCUACUGACCAGCUAAGUGGUUUAGACCACCACACCACAAAAGUAAUGAAGCUACAACAGAAAUCAGCAUGUAAUUGUAAAAAUAUGAAAUGAAAUAUGGCAAGAAACAGAAUGCUGACAUGAAUUAAUUGUAAAAUGUUUUAAUCUGCUGAUGGAGAGCACAUGAAUGUUUGGAGCAGCCAGAUUGUCCUGCGCAUCUUCUCCCACUCCUGCUUCAAGGUUGAGGGGUUCAGGGGUCCAUCAUCAUCAUCAUCAUCAUCAUCAUCUUCCUCAUCCUCUGGAUCAACGAUGUCUCCAUUGAGAAGAGCAGCAGUGAGGGACAUGAUGAUGAAGGUGUUCACCAGUUGCUUCAUCAAAAUAAAGCUGCAGAAUUGGCACAGCUGUGUUGAGAUGACAGCAGGACUGUAAAUACCUGAUUGUUAGAUCAAUACAUUUGAAUAAAGCUUUGUUUUGUGUGUUGUUGA